rnacentral:rRNA from 2 species
AAGUCGAGCGGAUUGAUGGGAGCUUGCUCCCUGAUAUCAGCGGCGGACGGGUGAGUAACACGUGGGUAACCUGCCUGUAAGACUGGGAUAACUCCGGGAAACCGGGGCUAAUACCGGAUAACUCAUUUCCUCGCAUGAGGAAAUGUUGAAAGGUGGCUUCUUGCUAUCACUUACAGAUGGACCCGCGGCGCAUUAGCUAGUUGGUGAGGUAACGGCUCACCAAGGCGACAAUGCGUAGCCGACCUGAGAGGGUGAUCGGCCACACUGGGACUGAAACACGGCCCAAACUCCUACGGGAGGCAGCAGUAGGGAAUCUUCCGCAAUGGACGAAAGUCUGACGGAGCAACGCCGCGUGAGUGAUGAAGGUUUUCGGAUCGUAAAGCUCUGUUGUUAGGGAAAAACAAGUGCCGUUCGAAUAGGGCGGCACCUUGACGGUACCUAACCAAAAAGCCACGGCUAACUACGUGCCAGCAGCCGCGGUAAUACGUAGGUGGCAAGCGUUGUCCGGAAUUAUUGGGCGUAAAGCGCGCGCAGGUGGUUUCUUAAGUCUGAUGUGAAAGCCCACGGCUCAACCGUGGAGGGUCAUUGGAAACUGGGGAACUUGAGUGCAGAAGAGGAAAGUGGAAUUCCAAGUGUAGCGGUGAAAUGCGUAGAUAUUUGGAGGAACACCAGUGGCGAAGGCGACUUUCUGGUCUGUAACUGACACUGAGGCGCGAAAGCGUGGGGAGCAAACAGGAUUAGAUACCCUGGUAGUCCACGCCGUAAACGAUGAGUGCUAAGUGUUAGGGGGUUUCCGCCCCUUAGUGCUGCAGCUAACGCAUUAAGGCACUCCGCCUGGGGAGUACGGUCGCAAGACUGAAACUCAAAGGAAUUGACGGGGGCCCGCACAGGCGGUGCAGCAUGUGUUUAUUCGAAGCACGCGAGACCUUACCAGGUCUUGACAUCCUCUGACACCCUAGAGAUAGGGCUUCCCUUCGGGGACGAGUGACAGUGUGCAUGAUGUCGUCAGCUCGUGUCUGAAAUGAGGUAGUCCGCACGAGCGCAUCUGGAUCUAGUUGCAGCAUCAGUGGCACUCUAGAUGACUGCGUGACAUCGGAGAGUGA